UACGUAGGUGGCGAGCGUUGUCCGGAUUUACUGGGCGUAAAGGGCGUGCAGGCGGUUUGUUAAGUGCAGAGUGAAAGCUCCCGGCUCAACUGGGAGAGGUCUUUGCAUACUGGCAAACUCGAGGGAGGCAGAGGAAAGUGGAAUUCCCGGUGUAGUGGUGAUAUGCGUAGAUAUCGGGAGGAACACCUGUGGCGAAGGCGGCAUCCUGGACCGACACUGACGCUGAGGAGCGAAAGCCAGGGGAGCAAACGGG
rnacentral:rRNA from 1 species